AACGGUUUCCUCUGAAGUAAACCGUUAUUUUAGGCUGAUGAUGCACACACAGCUUUUCUCAAAUUCGACCAUUCUUUAGCCGUAUGCGACCGAAAACGCUUCACCAGAAGCGGGCCAUUAUAUACAUGUCAUAUGUGUGCGAAAGGUGCACGUGUGUGUAAUGUUGGUAAGUAUGGUGCAACGUCAACGAGCGAAAAGCUACCGGAAAACUUCUGAUGAUAUUAAGCUCGUAUAAAUCGUGCGUGCGCUACGCCAGGUUCUGACGCCUUUCGACUGACCAUUCCGAUUGUCCUGCCUCGUAACGGGAUUCUAGUAUGAGCGAGAGGUCGCCCUACUCAGACAUAUUGAGCGACAGGGGCAUCGAUCUGUGGCCGGAGGGCUGGCCGCUCCACCCAUUGGACAUCACACAUCACCACAGUUAUGGUGACGCCGUCCUACAUACUCGUUCACUGCCUAGUUGUUCGAAUACAUUAUAUGUAAUGCCUGCCGUAUGCACACUGUAGAAAGGCUUCCGUAGACAGCAAAUUAGCAAGCUCACAGUGACCUAUUAUUCGAUACACUGCCUGAACAAUUUCUUGCUUUUACGGAAUUUUCUAGGUGGAGUGUGUGUAUAUAUAUAUAAGCCAUUUGUUUUCAUGUUUGUUAUCUAUUAUUGGAAUGUGUUACGCGGGCUCCACUCAACAUCGGACUGAAACGCGACAACAUUUGGUUCAAUCCGAAUACCGUUAAGGACAUCUUGCAUACUUCAGCAGACCGACAACGGCAACGGCCACAGCGGCGACGAUAGUCUUCACUAUUUAUUGUUGUAUGUUCGUCGUCUCAAGUUCUUCAUCGGGUUUUUCGCUUCUCUUCGUUUCUUAAGGCGCCCGCGUCACUGUCAUCCACCUAUCCAUCGUCGUGGAUUCGAAUUUCGGCGAUGGAUACAUCUACAUCAAGGGCCUACGCCUGUGCCUGCCUCAGCUCCUCCUACGACGCGUACUUCGUCUUCCAAUCCUCCGACCGCCCCACGCAGCAGGAGAGCUGUGACCGUGGCCCAGCUAAGCCUCGCUAGAGAACUCUUCACAUUUCUCCACCGCAAAUACUCAGCCUGUCUCUCGAAGACAUACGGCCAUUCUGUGCGGAGUAUUAGACACAUGAAUUACUCACUGUCUCUAUAAAUCUCAUCCAUAACAGAUAUAGUUUUAUUAACACGUAUACUAAGAAUAAAUCUAACGACAGAUUGAACGUGGAUAGUGCGAUGCUCUCUGCUGCAUUUUGCCUCAAAGAUCUGCACCAACUCUACGAAGUAGGGAAAUGCUUAUUCCAUUAACUCGGGUUAGUUGAAGUUAUUCGCGAUUUUUUUUUACUUAAUCGGUGCCAAGCACACCGCUGACAUGGCAAGACAUUGAAGCCUUAUUCUGACAGUUUGAAUUCGAUUAUCUACCAACUGAUGGGUAUAUCUAUCCGCUUGCGAUAGCGCCGUCGGAUCCAUUUUAUACUGGCCCCAAUGUUUGACCAUCGUUUCCUGAGUCCGCACACUGCGCAGAGUUCAGGAUUUGGAUCUGUUCGUUUCUUUGACCCUUUGAAUCGCGCGCAGAACAUCCUCUAUGCGCCAUCCAGCGAGCAAGCAGAUCAGCAGCGACUGCAGCAUCACACAGGCCGGCAGUACCCACAACACAACGGCCGUAGAAGGCUGGCAUAACAGCACAGCGUCGUACACGGCUUCGCCACUCUGCACCCCUGGGGAUGAUGGCUGUCACAGCGGUGCGGCAGUAACCGCAGCUAGACCGACAAACAGACAGACAGACAGACAGAGAGAUAUAGGCUCACGAUGUAGUCGAGCGUGCCUAGGCUUGCCUGUACGGCUGUGUCUGACUGAAUAUCUGUGCGUGUGUGUGUUUGUGUGUGUGUGUUUGUGUGUGUGUGUGUGUGUGUGUGUGUUUGUGUGUGUGUGUGUGUAUGAGUGUGGAAGAGGCUGUGUAAGCAUCAUUGAUUCCACCGGCAUAGAGAAACUACGUAGCAACUGGCACUUCACAGGACACCUCCUCCCCCCAAACCGUCAGCGGUCCCCCGCCGUAGUUCGUCUUCGCCGACGAACUUGGUUGGUUGGUUAGUUCGUCUUUGAGCGUCUCGUGCCAAUGUCAGGCCCCGCCUCCUCCUGCUCGCCAAUACUACAGUAACCAGAGCCUCCCUGAAGCCGCUUUCCUUUCGCCGCUGCUACUCACGGAGUAGCUCGGUUGGGUGGGGAGGUUUCUGCUGCCAUAGCCUGACUAUGACUCUCUCUCUCUCUCUCUCUGUUACUCUUUCCUGUGCACACUCUUCUCGUACUGUUCUAUUUUCACUCUCGCUCUUUAUCCUCGCUCCGUCUCCAGGAUAUCAGAUUGGAUACUAGCUGGGCAACCACUCCGGCUAGAUCCAUGCUGUCGCCUCUGUCCCUGGAUAGAUACUAGCGGUUUGGUCGUUACGGACGGUACAUAUUGCAGGUUAGCCCCACUCCGUACCGCGAUAUCUGACGAGCACCAACUCUGUAUCUCUGAAGCACUUUGUAGAAUCGUGCAUCCCGAAGCGCUUGCAUCAGUGUACUCGGAGUCGCCAAAUUUGACACGUCAUUCCAACACCAGUUUUCGACUAACGAGUUAUCACCCUCAUCUAAAGUGUCGAGAUCUCUUCUUAUCAUUGUCUUAGUUUGCUUUGCCAGCUCUGAGGAUUGUGGUGUCUCAUAUAACAGCGUUAUCAAGUUCAGCUCAACUGCAGUAGCGGUAAAAUAUUUCGAUAUAUGUAUGUUGUCCUAAGAUGCAAUUUGUCUUCUGUUGGCUUUGCCGAUAAUAAACAUGGUUUUCCAUUUGUUCGUUUCAGGCCUGGCAUGCAAUGAUUAUACGAAGAUGCACUAACAGGACCAUCAUCAUCAUCUUCGUCAUAGCACAAACGCUUCUAACCAAUGAGGCUGAUAUAUAUCUUCUCCGUUGAUAGUAUAUAAAUAGCGACAAAAGCAGCGAGAAGCACACGGAUUUAUUUGCCCACUAGACACUCGUCGCACUCCGUCCGUCCGCCAGUUUAGUGUAUUGUCCUCCGCUCGUCUUUAUCUCUGCGAUGUGACGGAGCAGCCAUAUCGUCCCAUAAAACGUCUAUGUCCAACACGGCGCUCUAUCUGCCGGCCCGUAUUCAACAGCGUCGAAGUGGAACCGGCCUCGUUGGUUUCAUUUUAGUGUAUCUCUAGCAUCCUUUCAGAUACGGCGACCUAUCUCAGCUCGUUCGUUUCCCACUGACUUCAGCACAAAACUCCCCACCAUAGAGCUGGCUUUUGCCUCUGCUCCUUCUAUUUUUUCAGCUUCUACUUCGCCUCGGCCUUCUUUUUCUUCGGCAAAAUUUCUUUCCCUUGCUGAAUUGACUCGAACCACGAGCCGUUCUACUCCCGACACUCGGCCGUUCGCACAAUAGCUUCGGACGGCGCACAGCCGCAGCGUGAAUCUCUUUCUUCCACUCUGCACCGAUGAUGCUUCUACGAUGAGCUGCUGCUGCCGCCUGACCUUUCCCGGUAAGCUGCUGUCAGGUUCCAGCGGCCGAUUGAUGGACAAGCGAAAGGGAGGGGGUAGCGGAGGACUAGCUCUUCUCCGGGAUGUCUAGAGCUAAAAGCUGCUGGUACAAAAGAAGAGGUACCCCCUCAAGAGUAUCAUCAGCAAGCUUAGCAGUUCGUCACCAUGAAACAAACUUCUCAAGUCCAGAUAGCGCACCAGGAUGAGGCCUGUACAGAGAAGAGAAUAAGAUAGUGUGCUGUCGCCUGACGAUCGGAGACGAACAGGAAAAGGCGACACACAAGGUAGAUUUCGCUGUAGACGAACAGCAUUUUGAAGUGGAAGAUCAAGGGGAAAGGGGAAGACAAAUACAUUAAAGAAGACGAGGAAAAAGAAAGCGGCACCGGCAACACAUGAGAUGGCGCGUUCGCUUUCAGAGUCUAGCCUCUAAAUACAGCCGUGAGCUAUGUCCAAGUGCUACCUGCGUAGGAGCACGGUCCCUCCAUUAGCACCCCUCUCCUCCACCUCUCAAGGAUGACAGACUGCACCCGAUCGCAACGACAGCGCAGAUUGCUCUACGGCUUUCUGCAAGAGCCAUCACUUCAUUGCGGCGAAGAAAAUACCAAUCAAAGGACAUAAGGUAAUGCUUUUUGCGACCAACUCACUUCGCUGCAGGAUCAGUUCUUCUGUCUCGUCGUAACUGCUUCGACGAUCACCGGCUCUCGCAUUCUGCUAAGUGUUAAAAUCAUUUUGAAAAUUGACGACGACCACUUAACGUGUGGUGGGCCGGAUGAAACUCUGCGAGUUCAUGUUGACGAUAAUGAUAAAUACUACGAGAAAAUGACCACAGUAAAGCGUCGGACAGCUGAUGAACAUAGCGCGUUAAAAGCAUUCGCAAAUAGAGCCCAUCAACCUAUGCGAAAACGGACUGCUUCUUCAGAAAGAGAACAGUGUUAUUAUCAUUAUAAACAAACGAAAUAACUAACGAUUAACUUCGAUCAUCGCGGCUUUCUUACACCACAACGUUGGUCACUGAAUCCUUUAUACCCUAGAGCUAGUGACUCCUAUCUCAAAAAACACAGUGUAAUGUGGUUUAAAUUGAAUACACACAAUGUCUCCCUUCUGAAGCUUUUGGAUAAACAAAGAUGCUGUUGAUCAUUUCCCUAUACAUGAUCUACGAAUAAGUGCAAACAGACCGGAUUUCGUAGCUUUCGAAAUUCUUCGGUGUACAUGUUACAAUAUUGCUAGCUGUGCGCCAGAAGUUCAGAAAUCAACGACGUUCUAGACUGAAGGACAUAUAUGAAAAGCUUUUGUAUAAUGGGAAAAAAUCGAAUAUUUUUGUACGAACAGGACAGACGAAGCAAAGUAGAUCAGACAGUUUGAACGAACGGGAUAUAAACUGCGGUAAUAAGAUCAGUGACCACCCCAUUGUCACCAGUUGUUUGCGAUUUCCAUGCGCAAUCUUCCACUACAGCAAUGAUGCCUUCAGUACUGCUGUAUAUUGCACUAGGAGUCGUCAUGGUCAAUGAUUUGCCUGCUUUUAAACUGACUUUUAGACGAAGCUCGUGCAUGAAGCAAUUCUUGAUGUUUUUCUUUGCUAUUGUAUCUAGACAGAAAUCUGUCGAGUACUGGUGCGUUUGUGAAAGCUUCACGGACCGCCUUACGUUUUUUGCCGUUAGCUGAUGUUUUAUAUUGACUCCUCGGCGCAAAGCAUCGUUAUUGGCACCAAAAGGCCGGUGCAACAAAGCAAAAACACUGGCGUCGAAUUGCAACCAUUGAUAACAUCAACGUAAACAUUAUGUAAUAAUAGGUCAAAGUAAAUGCCACAGGAUAAAAACCCGAUCCCUUUACUCGACGCACUCGACGAUGUGGUAAUGUUUCCAAGGCUCGUAUCAGAUUGGACGAUGUUAAACAGCUUUAAAAAUUUAUUACAUAAGACAAUAUGCAACAAUGUUCCUUUACUCAAUAAGAUCUAUUAUGGCGGGAUUUGAACCGGCGACCUCUGUCCCGAGAGAUCAAGCUGCUCAAGCGGCUGCACAGACAUAUACACAAUAAUAACACAAGCGGUAGUAUAUAUACUAAGCAACGAUAUUGCAGACAAGGGAAAUGGCGGUGUAAGCUAUUUUACUACAUUUAGAGGACGUUAUUAUCUGCUAUAUAAUUCUUAUGGGUAUAGACGAGCUAAAGUUUUGACGCAAGCGUUUGUUGUAUUAUAGAACAUAAACAUGAAACAAACAUUGAGACUGUCCUGUCUUGACGUAUUGCUGCAGUGGCCUAUAAAAGCUUUGUUUUAGUACUAUUCAGUACGAAAACUAAUCAGAAAGAGGGAGAGAAAGAGAGACUAAUUUAUUUAUUACAUAUAUAUAUAUAUAUAUAUAUAUUCCGUGUGAUACAGGUGAAUACAGUCGAAAAAAUGUUUAUUAUUUAAAUUCCCAGUUUCAUGCGCCACUUCACUGACUGGUGAAGACCUCAUUGACUAAAGAAAUCAACAAACUCUUACGCUUGAUAGAAAAGCAAAAUCGCCGGACCCUCAUCGAUAACACAAUUAGGACUCGCGGCGGCAAGAAACAGGGAGGGCGUAUCAGCGAUCAAUGAGUGGACAAUGUUUGUAGAAAACACACGACAUAAUGGAGGAUCCAGUCCGCAGAUCGAACUGCCCCCAGCCCCGCGGUCGAAGCAGCAUAGACGCCAGGAAGACCAUCGAGGUUACUUCUACCGAUAUUAACUAAUGGCACCCUGACGAACGAUGAUACGAAUCAUCCGUUGACCCCACUCCGACGCUCUCCUUUCGCGGCUAACGCGAACAGACAGGGUUCUAUGUUGUUACUGAUAGUUCCUGCUGUUAAACUGUACGAUAAAAUCGACUUUAGCAAGUCAAACUAUUGCAAUAAAUAGUGUACUGGGUCUGAAUAAGUUUCCAAGAGUAAUAGCCGUAGUUCUAGCAGUAGUUAUACACAGCAUCCUGCAAAAAAGAACCCAAUUUGUUUCCACGGUUGUUAGAGAAAUCUGAUUAACACAGUAAUCCAUUAGCGUUACUCUCUCGUCGUGUUAGUCUUGUCGAUCCGACCCAAUCCGAUAAACAUCGAAAAAGCAGCGAAAGGUAGCGCCAGCGACAGUAAUAAACACGCCGUUAUUGGAUCGUCCUGUCUUAUAUCAAUGUGUUUUGGGUAUGUAAAAUGGUUCUUGCCCACUCUCUAGUCCCUCGUUCUAACCCCCUUCCGCCCGCAGUCAACGCUAUCCAGUCGGCCUGCUAUUUUCGUCCUAGCAGCAGAAGUGUUUGUCUCCUUUCGCCAGACAGAAUCGCAGUACGACGAAACAAAAGCAAGUCAACAAGUUAACCGCGAUGGGUCGUCUAUCCUGCUCGCUCGCUCGC
rnacentral:lncRNA from 1 species